rnacentral:rRNA from 1 species
GACGAACGCUGGCGGUGUGCUUAACACAUGCAAGUCGAACGGUAAGGCCCUUUCGGGGGUACACGAGUGGCGAACGGGUGCGUAACACGUGAGUAACCUGCCCUCAUCUCUGGGAUAACAGUCGGAAACGGUUGCUAAUACUGGAUAUGAGCUUGCAAGGCAUCUUGUGGGUUGGAAAGAUUUUUUUUGGUUGGGGAUGGACUCGCGGCCUAUCAGCUUGUUGGUGAGGUAGUGGCUCACCAAGGCUUCGACGGGUAGCCGGCCUGAGAGGGCGACCGGCCACAUGGGGACUGAGAUACGGCCCAAACUCCUACGGGAGGCAGCAGUGGGGAAUAUUGCACAAUGGACGGAAGUCUGAUGCAGCAACGCCGCGUGCGGGAUGACGGCCUUCGGGUUGUAAACCGCUUUCAAUUGUGACGAAGCUUUUUUGUGACGGUAGCAGUAGAAGAAGCACCGGCUAACUACGUG